rnacentral:tRNA from 1 species
UUGAGAAAGACAUAAUGGUUAUGACAUUGGCUUGAAACCAAU